UAGUGAAAAAGAUUUUGCCAAAUUGUCAUAACUAAAUACGAAGUUUAAUACGUGUCUUCACCCUUUAAUUUAUGAUUGAGGAAAUGUCGUACUCUAGUUAUUUUUCAAUGCUUUACUUUAUAUAACAAUGACUCUACGUCAUAUCUGAUUAUCAGUUUAUGUCAUGUCGUCGAAGAAAAGUUUUUGCGAUUUGCGAUUUUGCGAUUGAUAAUAUAAAUGAUAUAAAAUUGCAAAUGGAUCGUCUAACAAGCUGUGAUUUUUCAGUAUACAGUCUGAGUUAAACCUACUCCAUCUGUUACAGUUAUCUACAUUAGUGUGCAUGCAGGAACUUUCAGUAAUGUUUUGGCUUUAUUCAACUGCCAUCUUUGUUUAUUUCCGUCUGGUCGUCUUGCUGUUCGUGAUGGAAAAAGAGCCCUUAUCGAAUACGUAAUACAGCAUGAUUGAAGAUGACUACUGUGACCGGUGAAAAAAAAUAUGGAAAUCAACCUCCUUCCGGAUGUUUUCGUACCAGGUGGAUUCUACGACAGCAUCCAGUAGAUUCCUGUGGCGGAGCAGCUUAAUGUGGUGUUGUUUUUGCGCCACUAUGCAGGAAAAACUACGGCGCAUACCGUAGAUGGUUUUGCGGGGUGGACAAACAAGACCUCAACAAUAACGGUGCGGAUUAGUGCGGAUAAUGUUAAUAAACAAGUGAUUUAAGUUAUACAUAUAUUGAUUCUAAUAAAAAUGAGUAGAACUAAUCUGUUUUUUUUUCAAUUUUUCAUCUCGAAUGUACGUAUUUUUAAUUUUGGCAUAAAUAUAUAAUAUAAUGUCACAACUAUUCUUUCUUUUUAUUCUCCAAAAAUUACUUCACAGUAUGAGUUGCAGUUCAGCUUCUAAAAAAUGGAUAGUACAUCAACUGCUUGGUAUUAAGUUGAGCGAAAAUUUUGUUUGAGAAAAUGGCCAUAUUUUUAUGGUAACCUAACUUAACAACCCAUUCAACAUAUGGUGAUUCCGCUAAUAACCUUUUAUGAUGUGGUCAAAACCAUUCGGCAGAAUGUGGAUAUAUGGUUAUUUAACAUUAACAGAAAAGGUUAACAACAGUGAGAGAUAU